rnacentral:rRNA from 1 species
UGGGGAAUCUUGCACAAUGGGCGAAAGCCUGAUGCAGCAACGCCGCGUGCGGGAAGAAGGCCCUCGGGUUGUAAACCGCUUUCAGAAGGAACGAAACUGACGGUACUUUCAGAAGAAGGUGCGGCCAACUACGUGCCAGCAGCCGCGGUGACACGUAGGCACCAAGCGUUGUCCGGAUUUAUUGGGCGUAAAGAGCUCGUAGGCGGUUCAGUAAGUCGGGUGUGAAAACUUUGGGCUUAACCCAAAGCGUGCAUCCGAUACUGCUGUGACUUGAGUACGGUAGGGGAGCGGGGAAUUCCUAGUGUAGCGGUGAAAUGCGCAGAUAUUAGGAGGAACACCGGUGGCGAAGGCGCCGCUCUGGGCCGAAACCGACGCUGAGGAGCGAAAGCAUGGGUAGCAAACAGGAUUAGAUACCCACGUAGUCCCUGAGCGGGCUGGCAAGGCGCAU